rnacentral:misc_RNA from 1 species
AAAGUCGUAACAAGGUUUCCGUAGGUGAACCUGCGGAAGGAUCAUUAACACGUCUCCAAAACGUUUUAAAACUCAAAUUUCGUGAACAGUUGAUUUUUUUACUUUAUUGUUGAAAAUCUUCUCCCUCCUCCCUAUUUUUUUACCCCCUUUUUUUUAAUUCGAAUGAACUGAAAAAACAACAAAGAAAACAGAAUUUAUUCUUUUUUUUUUUACGAAAUGCUGAACAACUCUUAACAACGGAUAUCUUGGUUCUC